rnacentral:miRNA from 1 species
UGAGGCAGGAGAAUUGCUUGAACCCAGGAGGUGGAGGUUGCAGUGAGCCGAGAUCGUGCCACUGUACUCUAGCCUGGGUGACAGAGUGAGACUCCA